ensembl:snoRNA SNORD24 Small nucleolar RNA SNORD24
UGCAGAUGAUGUGAGAGAAUAUUUGCUAUCUGAGAGAUGGUGAUGCUGCUUCAGCCACCAAGAUCUCUGAUGCA